CCAGACUCCUACGGGAGGCAGCAGUGAGGAAUAUUGGACAAUGGUCGGAAGACUGAUCCAGCCAUGCCGCGUGCAGGAUGAAGGUCCUAUGGAUUGUAAACUGCUUUUGUAAGGGAAGAAUAAGGAGUACGUGUACUUUGAUGACGGUACCUUACGAAUAAGCAUCGGCUAACUCCGUGCCAGCAGCCGCGGUAAUACGGAGGAUGCGAGCGUUAUCCGGAAUCAUUGGGUUUAAAGGGUCUGUAGGCGGGCUAUUAAGUCAGGGGUGAAAGGUUUCAGCUUAACUGAGAAAUUGCCUUUGAUACUGGUAGUCUUGAAUAUCUGUGAAGUUCUUGGAAUGUGUAGUGUAGCGGUGAAAUGCUUAGAUAUUACACAGAACACCGAUUGCGGAGGCAGGGGACUAACAGACGAUUGACGCUGAGAGACGAAAGCGUGGGGAGCGAACAGGAUUAGAUACCCUGGUAGUCCACGCUGUAAACGAUGGAUACUAGCUGUUUGGAGUAAUUUGAGUGGCUAAGCGAAAGUGAUAAGUAUCCCACCUGGGGAGUACGCACGCAAGUGUGAAACUCAAAGGAAUUGACGGGGGCCCGCACAAG
rnacentral:rRNA from 1 species